AGAGUUUGAUCMUGGCUCAGAACGAACGCUGGCGGCGUGCUUAACACAUGCAAGUCGAACGCGAAAGGGACUUCGGUCCCGAGUAGAGUGGCGCACGGGUGAGUAACGCGUAAGUAAUCUACCCCUGUAUUCGGAAUACCCCACCGAAAGGUGAGCUAAUACCGGAUACGUUUAUCUUGAUGCGAAUGAUGAUAAAGAAAGGUGGCCUCUUCUUGAAAGCUACUGUACAGGGACGAGCUUGCGUACCAUUAGCUAGUUGGUAGGGUAAUGGCCUACCAAGGCGACGAUGGUUAGCGGGUCYGAGAGGAUGAUCCGCCACACUGGAACUGGAACACGGACCAGACUCCUACGGGAGGCAGCAGUGAGGAAUAUUGCGCAAUGGGGGMAACCCUGACGCAGCGACGCCGCGUGGAUGAUGAAGGCCCUUGGGUCGUAAAAUCCUGUCAGAUGGAAAGAAAUGCCACAGGGCUAAUAUCUUUGUGGUUUGACGGUACCAUCARAGGAAGCACCGGCUAACUCCGUGCCAGCAGCCGCGGUAAUACGGAGGGUGCAAGCGUUGUUCGGAAUUACUGGGCGUAAAGCGCGCGUAGGCGGUUUGCUCAGUCAGAUGUGAAAGCCCUCGGCUUAACCGGGGACGUGCAUUUGAAACUGGCAGACUUGAGUAUUGGAGGGGGUGGUGGAAUUCCCGGUGUAGAGGUGAAAUUCGUAGAUAUCGGGAGGAAUACCGGUGGCGAAGGCGACCACCUGGCCAAAUACUGACGCUGAGGUGCGAAAGCGUGGGGAGCARACAGGAUUAGAUACCCUGGUAGUCC
rnacentral:rRNA from 1 species